UUUAGGUGCUGGUUUGUUUUUGUGAUUUUUGCAGAUACAUAAAUGUCUGCAACACUGUCAGAAGUUCAAGGUUUACCUGGAUAUUUCUCCCAUUUAAAAAACAAAACAUUGUUUGACUUCGUCUUUACUUAAUCCACUAUAAAUUAAACAACUGUUUUAAUCAGCUGUAGCUGCAAUAUAGCCUCCGGCCAGCAGCGGCAGCACUGCUGCUGCGCAACAGCAACAUCACUUGAGGGGCGACGAAGAUAUGCAGCAUCAUCUGUGGCUGAACCAUCCAAACCGUGUUUUUUGGUUUUUUGUUUACUGUUUUUUUUUUUUUUUUUUUUUUUACUGUUUAUUUUAAGUCGCUGCAGAAGAUGCCUAGAAGAUUUCAUACCAAAAAAACCACAUGCCCAUCACCUCUGGCCCUGCUGUCCUCACCGACCAGCUCCAUCACUGGACCAGUGAAGACUGAUCCAACAACCUGCUGAAUAACACCUAGCUCAAGCUUGUGGAACGGGACUUGAUGCUGCAGUUUACAACUCCUUUAGAAUAAAAGGACCAAGCUCUGACACCAGCUACAGCCAUUUGCUGUUGUGAGCACUGCACAGACCCUGUGACAUUGGCUGAGAAAGACUCAAGUGCCACCAGUCUUCCUUCCAAACACACAGUGUGGUACUGUGGUCAUGAUGUGAAUUCAGUCAGCAUGUGGGAAGAGCCCAACAUGUAUUUGCCCAGAUAAGACUGCAACAGGAUGAAGUGCUGACAUCACAAGAUGGACACAGAGGAUUAUGGGAUUUUAGUAGCUGUUGCAGCUACUUUGGUAAUGCAGACUGUACAUAACCUGUUGUGGCUCUUCAGUUGACCACUGAUGAACAUAUAGUGAUGCCUGCUUUGUAUCAUCAAUAUUGGAGAGUUCAUUGUUUUCACUAUUUUCACUGAAAUCUCCUUUUAUCUGAAUACAGUGACACUAUAAAGACAUAUACAAACAAGCCUAAAGACAGUUUUGACUUUGGCACUGAACACUUCAUCCACCAGCCGCAAGAGGUUGGUUUAAAAAUAGCUAAGGAAGUGAGGCAUUCGAUGAGAAUAGCAGAGUCACUGAUGAUAGCAGGCAUAAAGUUUGGAUAGAGAUGAAAUAUUCGUAAAAGCUGUAUUUUAACUAUACUCCCAAAAUAUUAUUUCAUCAAAGAUAUUUGUAGAACAUUACAUUCAAAACAACUUAAAUAGUGUCAGCUCUUCCAUAUCUUUGAAGUGACAGCAAGUUCAUUUUCUCACUGUGCUUUUAUAUCAAUUAAAAUCAUUACUGCUUAUGGCUAA